rnacentral:rRNA from 1 species
GACGAACGCUGGCGGCGUGCUUAACACAUGCAAGUCGAGCGGUAAGGCCCUUUCGGGGGUACACGAGCGGCGAACGGGUGAGUAACACGUGGGUGACCUGCCCUCAGCUCUGGGAUAAGCCUGGGAAACCGGGUCUAAUACCGGAUAUGACUCCAUGACGCAUGUUGUGGGGCGGAAAGCCUUGUGCGGCUGAGGAUGGGCCCGCGGCCUAUCAGCUUGUUGGUGGGGUGAUGGCCUACCAAGGCGACGACGGGUAGCCGGCCUGAGAGGGCGACCGGCCACACUGGGACUGAGACACGGCCCAGACUCCUACGGGAGGCAGCAGUGGGGAAUCUUGCGCAAUGGGCGAAAGCCUGACGCAGCGACGCCGCGUGAGGGAUGACGGCCU